rnacentral:lncRNA from 1 species
AUCAACAUCUAACCCCCAACAACAUUCUCAGCCCGGUUACUCACAACCACCUAUCCGUCAAACUUUCCGUUCCACAAACACACAAACAUACAACCAAAACAUGCCAUUCACCCAACCCCAAUACUAAGAACAUCCCCCAUACCACCACCAACAAAUGGACCAUCAACCUCAGACCGAACAUCGCUUCGCACCCACACCAUCACCCUACCAAAGUCGCCUUAGCCAAAACACUAACCGCCCUUCCUCCUACCGUAGCCAAGAACCCCAAACAUCACAAUACCAGAACAUCCCACAACCAUAUCUCUUCCAAACACCCCAACAACCUUUCCAACCGUUCCUAGACCCAUCAUUCACACCCAUGUCUCCCUUCAACCGUCCCGGUCGCCCAUCCAUGAGUCAAC